UAACACAUGCAAGUCGAACGGCAGCACAGAAAGAGCUUGCUCUUUGGGUGGCGAGUGGCGGACGGGUGAGUAAUGUCUGGGAAACUGCCCGAUGGAGGGGGAUAACUACUGGAAACGGUAGCUAAUACCGCAUAACGUCGCAAGACCAAAGUGGGGGACCUUCGGGCCUCACACCAUCGGAUGUGCCCAGAUGGGAUUAGCUAGUAGGUGGGGUAAUGGCUCMCCUAGGCGACGAUCCCUAGCUGGUCUGAGAGGAUGACCAGCCACACUGGAACUGAGACACGGUCCAGACUCCUACGGGAGGCAGCAGUGGGGAAUAUUGCACAAUGGGCGCAAGCCUGAUGCAGCCAUGCCGCGUGUAUGAAGAAGGCCUUCGGGUUGUAAAGUACUUUCAGCGGGGAGGAAGGCGGUGAGGUUAAUAACCUUGCCGAUUGACGUUACCCGCAGAAGAAGCACCGGCUAACUCCGUGCCAGCAGCCGCGGUAAUACGGAGGGUGCAAGCGUUAAUCGGAAUUACUGGGCGUAAAGCGCACGCAGGCGGUCUGUUAAGUCAGAUGUGAAAUCCCCGGGCUUAACCUGGGAACUGCAUUUGAAACUGGCAGGCUUGAGUCUCGUAGAGGGGGGUAGAAUUCCAGGUGUAGCGGUGAAAUGCGUAGARAACUGGAGGAAUACCGGUGGCGAAGGCGGCCCCCUGGACGAAGACUGACGCU
rnacentral:rRNA from 1 species